UAGCCGUAAACGAUACUCGCUAGGUGUCGGCCACGGUGCGACCGUUGUCGGUGCCGUAGGGAAGCCGUGAAGCGAGCCACCUGGGAAGUACGGCCGCAAGGCUGAAACUUAAAGGAAUUGGCGGGGGAGCACCACAACGGGUGGAGCUUGCGGUUUAAUUGGAUUCAACGCCGGAAAUCUUACCGGGACCGACAGCAACAUGAAGGCCAGGCUGAAGACUCUGCCGGAUUAGCUGAGAGGAGGUGCAUGGCGUAGUCGUGU
rnacentral:rRNA from 1 species